rnacentral:rRNA from 1 species
UUAAGCGACUAAGCGUACACGGUGGAUGCCCUGGCAGUCAGAGGCGAUGAAGGACGUGCUAAUCUGCGAUAAGCGUCGGUAAGGUGAUAUGAACCGUUAUAACCGGCGAUUUCCGAAUGGGGAAACCCAGUGUGAUUCGUCACACUAUCAUUAACUGAAUCCAUAGGUUAAUGAGGCGAACCGGGGGAACUGAAACAUCUAAGUACCCCGAGGAAAAGAAAUCAACCGAGAUUCCCCCAGUAGCGGCGAGCGAACGGGGAGGAGCCCAGAGCCUGAAUCAGUGUGUGUGUUAGUGGAAGCGUCUGGAAAGGCGCGCGAUACAGGGUGACAGCCCCGUACACAAAAAUGCACAUACUGUGAGCUCGAUGAGUAGGGCGGGACACGUGGUAUCCUGUCUGAAUAUGGGGGGACCAUCCUCCAAGGCUAAAUACUCCUGACUGACCGAUAGUGAACCAGUACCGUGAGGGAAAGGCGAAAAGAACCCCGGCGAGGGGAGUGAAAAAGAACCUGAAACCGUGUACGUACAAGCAGUGGGAGCACCCUUUUGGGUGUGACUGCGUACCUUUUGUAUAAUGGGUCAGCGACUUAUAUUCUGUAGCAAGGUUAACCGAAUAGGGGAGCCGAAGGGAAACCGAGUCUUAACUGGGCGUUAAGUUGCAGGGUAUAGACCCGAAACCCGGUGAUCUAGCCAUGGGCAGGUUGAAGGUUGGGUAACACUAACUGGAGGACCGAACCGACUAAUGUUGAAAAAUUAGCGGAUGACUUGUGGCUGGGGGUGAAAGGCCAAUCAAACCGGGAGAUAGCUGGUUCUCCCCGAAAGCUAUUUAGGUAGCGCCUCGUGAAUUCAUCUCCGGGGGUAGAGCACUGUUUCGGCAAGGGGGUCAUCCCGACUUACCAACCCGAUGCAAACUGCGAAUACCGGAGAAUGUUAUCACGGGAGACACACGGCGGGUGCUAACGUCCGUCGUGAAGAGGGAAACAACCCAGACCGCCAGCUAAGGUCCCAAAGUCAUGGUUAAGUGGGAAACGAUGUGGGAAGGCCCAGACAGCCAGGAUGUUGGCUUAGAAGCAGCCAUCAUUUAAAGAAAGCGUAAUAGCUCACUGGUCGAGUCGGCCUGCGCGGAAGAUGUAACGGGGCUAAACCAUGCACCGAAGCUGCGGCAGCGACGCUUAUGCGUUGUUGGGUAGGGGAGCGUUCUGUAAGCCUGUGAAGGUGUGCUGUGAGGCAUGCUGGAGGUAUCAGAAGUGCGAAUGCUGACAUAAGUAACGAUAAAGCGGGUGAAAAGCCCGCUCGCCGGAAGACCAAGGGUUCCUGUCCAACGUUAAUCGGGGCAGGGUGAGUCGACCCCUAAGGCGAGGCCGAAAGGCGUAGUCGAUGGGAAACAGGUUAAUAUUCCUGUACUUGGUGUUACUGCGAAGGGGGGACGGAGAAGGCUAUGUUGGCCGGGCGACGGUUGUCCCGGUUUAAGCGUGUAGGCUGGUUUUCCAGGCAAAUCCGGAAAAUCAAGGCUGAGGCGUGAUGACGAGGCACUACGGUGCUGAAGCAACAAAUGCCCUGCUUCCAGGAAAAGCCUCUAAGCAUCAGGUAACAUCGAAUCGUACCCCAAACCGACACAGGUGGUCAGGUAGAGAAUACCAAGGCGCUUGAGAGAACUCGGGUGAAGGAACUAGGCAAAAUGGUGCCGUAACUUCGGGAGAAGGCACGCUGAUAUGUAGGUGAAGCGACUUGCUCGUGGAGCUGAAAUCAGUCGAAGAUACCAGCUGGCUGCAACUGUUUAUUAAAAACACAGCACUGUGCAAACACGAAAGUGGACGUAUACGGUGUGACGCCUGCCCGGUGCCGGAAGGUUAAUUGAUGGGGUUAGCGGUAACGCGAAGCUCUUGAUCGAAGCCCCGGUAAACGGCGGCCGUAACUAUAACGGUCCUAAGGUAGCGAAAUUCCUUGUCGGGUAAGUUCCGACCUGCACGAAUGGCGUAAUGAUGGCCAGGCUGUCUCCACCCGAGACUCAGUGAAAUUGAACUCGCUGUGAAGAUGCAGUGUACCCGCGGCAAGACGGAAAGACCCCGUGAACCUUUACUAUAGCUUGACACUGAACAUUGAGCCUUGAUGUGUAGGAUAGGUGGGAGGCUUUGAAGUGUGGACGCCAGUCUGCAUGGAGCCGACCUUGAAAUACCACCCUUUAAUGUUUGAUGUUCUAACGUUGGCCCGUAAUCCGGGUUGCGGACAGUGUCUGGUGGGUAGUUUGACUGGGGCGGUCUCCUCCUAAAGAGUAACGGAGGAGCACGAAGGUUGGCUAAUCCUGGUCGGACAUCAGGAGGUUAGUGCAAUGGCAUAAGCCAGCUUGACUGCGAGCGUGACGGCGCGAGCAGGUGCGAAAGCAGGUCAUAGUGAUCCGGUGGUUCUGAAUGGAAGGGCCAUCGCUCAACGGAUAAAAGGUACUCCGGGGAUAACAGGCUGAUACCGCCCAAGAGUUCAUAUCGACGGCGGUGUUUGGCACCUCGAUGUCGGCUCAUCACAUCCUGGGGCUGAAGUAGGUCCCAAGGGUAUGGCUGUUCGCCAUUUAAAGUGGUACGCGAGCUGGGUUUAGAACGUCGUGAGACAGUUCGGUCCCUAUCUGCCGUGGGCGCUGGAGAACUGAGGGGGGCUGCUCCUAGUACGAGAGGACCGGAGUGGACGCAUCACUGGUGUUCGGGUUGUCAUGCCAAUGGCACUGCCCGGUAGCUAAAUGCGGAAGAGAUAAGUGCUGAAAGCAUCUAAGCACGAAACUUGCCCCGAGAUGAGUUCUCCCUGACCCUUUAAGGGUCCUGAAGGAACGUUGAAGACGACGACGUUGAUAGGCCGGGUGUGUAAGCGCAGCGAUGCGUUGAGCUAACCGGUACUAAUGAACCGUGAGGCUUAACCUU